CAAGAGGCCACGCGGCUGACUUGCUGAGGAGCCAGUUUAUGGGCAGGUCACCUGACCAGAUGGGAGGUUACAGACCAGCCUAAAGAGCUGGGAGAAGAACCACGUGAUCACGUCCACACACGCCAACAAGGCAUUUGACAAAAUUCAGCUCCCGGUUGAUGCUGGCUAUAAACCACAAAUCACAGGGUACGGAUGUUCUGCCUCCUGCCACAUUUCUCUCGCUCUAGUCUUCCAAAACACGACUGGGGUGGGGUUCCAAGUGUCUGCUCUCAGUGCUCAUGCCUGGCUCCAGCUUUGAUGGUGGAGGCAUCUGCUCCAAAGACGUCUCUCCGGUAAACACACGACCGGCCACGGAACCGGGUGUGCUGUGUAACUUCCAGGUCCUGUAAGUAAGAAACCUUUAUUUCAAAGUUCCCUGACGGUUGUCACUGAAGGACAUCUGCCACCAGAGCGAGAACCAGGCGGGCCCGUCCAACCACAGCACUGGUUACUGUUCCGCCGAGACCAGCCCACAACAGUGACCCGUCUGACCUGGUCUCCAAACGCCAUCACAAUCUAAGGUAAGAGAAAGGUGAGGGCUUCCGUGUUUGAGUUUGGGGAGCACGCAGUUCAGUCCGCAGCAGACUCUGUCACUUAAAAAGCUGCAAGAUCUCGGGUAAUUUAUUCACCUUCCGAGCUGCGGUUUUGUGCUCCGUGCGCUGGAAAUAGCAGCAUCGCCCCACCUCGUAGGACCGCGCAAGCCAUCGAGCCGCCCAGGCUUCCUGCCCUCUCGCCACCAUCACCGGCGCGAAGCCGUCUUCUUCGUGUUGCAAGAAGGCUGUCGCACCUCCGGGUACCGUGCCUGUGUGUCCGGCAGAAGGACAGGGGAGGGGCAGAGCGCCAGAGGCCCCCGCCUUGCCUGCCUGCCCCGCCUUGCCCGUUGCUCCCCAUUAAACCACGCAGAGGCUCUUGCCCACAUUUUCCCCUCGCCCCCCCCUCCCCCGGCCCCCUGACCGGCCCUGGUGCUUCCCCGUGUGGCCCCUCCUCCAGGGAACUGUGAAUAACAACCUUUUCAGUGGUAGUUGUCUCCCGACCUGAUGGCCUCACUGCCCUGCAUAAUAAUAGAGCCUUCCUUUUAAAACACGAGGAUGGAACAAAAACGGUGGCGUUGGGGGUGGGGUGGGGGGGUGUCGCCGAGAUCACGGCCGGCAAUUUGUUCUCAGAUCUGCUACCUGCCUCUGCUCAGCGCUGAAGGGCACGGCUUCCCCCUCAAGACGGGGUGCGUGGGGAGCGCCCGGACAGCUGUCACUCUUCCAGGGCGUGGCCCUUCAUGGCUGCUGUUCCCCCUCGUGGGCUCCUGAGCCCUACCCCGCGGCCCGGCCACCCCCCCCCCCACCCCACCAUCGUGGUCACACCGGUCCAGUGGCUGGGGUGCAGCGACUAGAGGUUUCCCCUCCCGGAGUGCAGGCUCUGUCUGAACCCAUAUUUGGGGACCCGGGAGGGGUCAAAGAGCUGCUAAGUUUAGAAUCUCAAAGCAACGUUCGCAGCCUGUGAACGCAGAUGCGUGCUGGGCUGUUUUAAUGAAAGGAAGUUUAUAUAAAAAGCUGUGGGAAAUGUAGCACUUCCUUGGAUACAAACACAGCCCAGUUACACAUUCGCUCAAGAUUUUGUCACUGUGACAAAGAGUUUCAGGAGCUGGAGGCCAAGUGGGCUGUCAAGAAGAACAGCGGUGGCCGAGUGAAAUCGGGGUGGGGGGAGGGCAGAAGCCCGUCCUCGGCAGGCCCCUGGGUCCUCAGAUUCGGAGAACCACGUAGUCAAGAAGAGUUAACUGCUUUGCUCUAUCACCUCCAGCUUUGCAGGCCGGUGGGAAAGCCGUAUAUCAACGGGGCAGGAUUAAGAAGUGUUCCUUAUACUUGCGAAACAACCAGUCAUGGUUGUUUGGGUGAUCAGGAAACAUGAUGCCAGCCCCUAGUCUGUAUCUUCAUGAUCAGGGCUGCCGUGCACCGCCGUUCAGGUUGUGCACAGCGCAAGUGCUCCUGGCCGAGAGGCACGGGGCGGGGGGCUGAGAUAGAGAACGGAGCCACGUCUACCCAGAGAGAGUGACGUUUUCUAAUUUUUCAAACCAAGCCAUGUGUCCAGGAGGUACAUCCAUCUCGAGGAAGAGUGCCGUCUGUGAUUGUCACAGAGGCAAGGUCUGGGGGCCCUGAGGUUGACCCAGCUGAGUCUCCUCCUACGUGGGCGGCUUACCGAGCCUGAGGAAGCCGGGCUGGUCUCACCUGAUGAGAGGUGGGCCGGGACUCUGAUGUUGUCAAGGCUCCUCCGCGAUUGGCAGGAUUAGUGGAUUUCAGGGAAACGGGGACCGGGAGGGACUCCAUCGUACCAGGCCCUCAUCCCUGACGUGACGAAACACCGUGGAUGCUUCUGGAGUUGGCCAGGAGACAGAUGCAGUCUGAUUUUUUUGUUUUCCUUUAUAUAGCCCCCUGCAUGGCUCCAAACUCAGGCUUCUCUGAGGGAGGCAGAAACCGCCUCUGGGCGCUUUGCUGGUAUACGUUUCCCCCGCAGAGAGUGUCCAGAUGCCAGCACCGGCCACAUGCGUGUCUCCUAGUUGCUCCUGGGCCCGUGGCCUUGCCCUUCGUUCUUACAGGUCAGCAGAAAGACCACGACCAAGGCUGUGACUUGUCUCCCAAACAGCGAUUCUUUCCUUUCUUUCAGUAAAAGAGCAGUAGUUAAUUCCGGAAGCUGGACUCCGUGCUGAGACUAAAUCGCCACAUUCCCCGCCCUUCGUUGUAGUUGGGGGGUAGCCACGUGAUCAAACCCCGGACAAAGAAAUUAAAAAGAAAGGAUGGGAGUAACACGGGGACACACGUCUUUUAAAGUGGCUUCUUCCUCCAGACACCUGGGUGGCUCGGCCGGGGUCCAGCUCAGGUCAUGAUCUCAAGGUCUGUGAAUUUGAGCCCCUCGUCGGACUCUCUG